CAAGGAACAAUUCAAACACAUACAUGAUCAAAGCAAUCGACGAUAGAAGCACCACCAGUGCUGUACAAAUAAGAGCAAGCAUCACAAGUAUAUAUUCAAGUGAACAAAAGAGAGAUUCUAUCUAUUACAUCACAUUCGACCACUUAUACAAUCGAUUUACAUUUGUAUCUUCCAAAACAUAUAAUACAAGUUCAUUCACAACUCUCCGGAGCAUCUCACAACCUACACAUCAUCUACUCUCAUAUAUACAG
rnacentral:lncRNA from 1 species